AUUGAACGCUGGCGGCAGGCCUAACACAUGCAAGUCGAGCGGAUGAAGGGAGCUUGCUCCUGGAUUCAGCGGCGGACGGGUGAGUAAUGCCUAGGAAUCUGCCUGGUAGUGGGGGAUAACGUCCGGAAACGGGCGCUAAUACCGCAUACGUCCUGAGGGAGAAAGUGGGGGAUCUUCGGACCUCACGCUAUCAGAUGAGCCUAGGUCGGAUUAGAUAGUUGGUGGGGUAAAGGCCUACCAAGGCGACGAUCCGUAACUGGUCUGAGAGGAUGAUCAGUCACACUGGAAGUGAGACACGGUCCAGACUCCUACGGGAGGCAGCAGUGGGGAAUAUUGGACAAUGGGCGAAAGCCUUAUACAGCCAGGCCGCGUGUGUGAAGAAGGUCUUCGGAUUGUAAAGCACUUUAAGGUGGGAGGAAGGGCAGUAAGUUAAGACCUUGCUGUUUUGACGUUACCAACAGAAUAAGCACCGGCUAACUUCGUG
rnacentral:rRNA from 1 species